GGCGGAGGCUCGGCUCCUCGGCUGGCUCCCUGCGCUGAGGCCGGGGGCGCGGGAGAGGCCCCGAGCCCCGUAGGACGCCGUGCUUGGGGAUCACGCGGCGGGCAUUUCUCUGAAUGUUCACGACCAUUUAUUUGUUUGAGCGAAGAGAGCCUGGUCGUGGAGAGGCGAUGUGCACCGAGCCAGCGGGCGGCGGGGUUGUGUUAAAGGCCGGGUCUGUUGUCCAGAUCUGUUGCUGCUAAUAGGCCGCUCCGCGUGGAAACCAGCAGUGGGCUCCUUUGAUAAAGGGUUUCUUGAGCAGGCAUCAUCCAGCAGAUAUAGAGGGCUCUUCCAUUAACUGUUUGACUCCUGGCAAGUCACUUUCCUUCUCUGGGAAUUACUUUUUUUUAAUCUAUAAAAUGAGGUGAAAAACUAAAUGAGUUGCUAAGCAUGUGAUUGACUAGGCUUCACGUGCAGCAUGGAGCCCAAAGGAAGGCUCAAACUCAUGACCCUGAAAUCAAGACCUGAAGUGAGAUAAAGGGUUGGAUAUGUAACCAACUAAACCACCAUAGCACUCUGGAAUUUUAUGCCUUUGGACCACCUUCACCCAUUUUGCCCACCCUCUCCCCCUUCCUCUGGCAAC